GACGAACGCUGGCGGCGCGCUUAACACAUGCAAGUCGAGCGAAUCGGCGGACUGGUGAGUAACACGUGAGUAACCUGCCUUAGACAUUGGGAUAGCCUCGGGAAACCGGUAUUAAUACCAAAUGGUCUAAGAUGGACUCGCGUCCCAUUAGCUAGUUGGUGAGGUAACGGCCCACCAAGGGGACGAGUGGUAGCCGGCCUGAGAGGGUGAACGGCGACAUUGGAACUGAGAAACGGUCCAGACUCUACGGGAGGCGGCAGUGGGGAAUAUUGCACAAUGGAGGGAACUCUGAUGCAGCGACGCCGCGUGAACGAAGAAGGCUUUCGAGUCGUAAAGUUCUUUUAUAUGGGAAGCGGUACCAUAAGAAAAAGCCCCGGCUAACUACGUGCCAGCCGCCGCGGUAAUUC
rnacentral:rRNA from 1 species